AUAUAUUUAAACCCUUCUCCUCCUCCAAAGGAACUGUUAAUGACUUUCAGUCUGUGAGCUCCAUUUUGCUGGUCAUAAACUUCCUUUAUGAUGGUGAGCAGCACUGUUUUUGUUUACUUGGGAGAAACUGCAGCAGAGGGACAGAAAUGGGGAAUGAUUCAUCCGGGUUCUGUCAGUGAUGUGGUUACUGUGCCUUGUUGUUUCCUAACGGCUCGAACCUUACUGGUGUAAAGCUUGGCUCAGAGGUGUGACCUCAAGGAGUGUGUCCUUGUGCAGUAUUAAAAAACAACAAAUACUUUGAGUAAAACAAACAAAAAAACCCCUCAACUUCACAUUGAGCUCUUUCUCCUCCGUUGUCUUGAAAGGAGACGCUGACAUUUUUUCAUUUCCCCAGCCUCUCCUUUGGCUCUGGUGGUUUGGUUGGACAGCCUGCUAAACUUGUUCAACAGCUGUGAGAAGCUCUAGCAGCCAGACGAGGACCAGAAGUACAUAAGGUACAUGAUAGAUCACAGCAGACACGUUUGACCUUUGCUGAUAGAGUAACUGCUGAUUGUUCAGUCUUAAUAUAUAGCUUUAAUGUGUUUUUUUUUUUCCCCAUUUAAUUAUAUAAAGCUUUCUAGCUUUUUUAGGUCUGCCAGUGUUUAAUAUUGAUCCUUCUAGAGGUAGGAAUGGUGCUCCCCAAAGCAAUAGGUGGUGACAGGUAUACCAGCUGAAGAUCUACAAGUUGCCGUGGCUGCCCUAAGACUUCCACAGUUUGCACUGGCUGCGCUCACACAGGUGGUAGCACUUGAGUUUGCUUCUGUGAAGGGCAGAACCUGAGGGUGGGUUCUGCCUCCACCAGAGCUCUCUGUUGCUGCACUGCCACAGCCUGAAGGUUCUCUGCUCUAUUUGCCACAGGAGAUGGCAUCUUGGGCACACCGAUCCUUCCUCCCUCUAGCUUAGCAGACAGGCUCAGAAACUGCAAGAAGGUAAGAAGCUGGUGGGCUAUGCAUUGUGAGAAAUGAUUAGAAAACCGAAAUCCAAACCCCACCUGAUGGUGUCCAGAGGAAACCCUGUGGUGCUGGUUCCCAUUCAGCCUGCGUUGGUAGGCAGCACGUGUUUGCCAGUACACCUAAAGGCUUGGAGGAAUGUGUGAUAACAAGGGCGGGACGUCCAGCUUCUUAAUAACUAUGUUUUCUAAAAGUCUGUGGAUGGCACACAUUUGUUAUUAGUUUGGCAUGCUUAAAGAUAAGUAUGGUUCAGCUAAAUUUGGCUGGGAAUGGGAGGGAAUAAAUAAAGAGGUUUUAAAAUGAGGGGAGUCUGCCUGAAUGUGAUCUCAUGGGUGGGGUACAGUGAGCGGUGGCUUAGUGUUUUGAAAGCAUUGUGAAGUCUGACCAGGGGAGUGAUCGAUCUUUGGUGCCAGCUGGAUGUUUAGCAGAUGGACAGGUAGUUACAUUUCAUUUGUCUGGAGAACUUAGUCACAGGAGGUGACUAUGGACAGUACAGGGGUGCUUAUAGACGGUUGCUCUUCUGAGGCCGGAUGUCUCCAGAUGCUUUUGCUGUUCCAGCAGCCCCUAUGGGUACUGCUUCCCUGGCCGUGGAGCAGCAGAGCCUGUGGCACCGUCUUCUCUGUUGCACUGAGCUGCUGUUGGCUUAUGCAAAAUUCUGUAUAUUUUGAAUCUAACCCUUAUUUGCUCUAGUUUGAAGAUAAUAAGAAUGCUGAUCUUUUCUUUACACUUGCAAGUUAUAGCAGAGUUCUGAGUGGAAUGGGUGAGUGUGCCCCCUUCCUUGCUGCUGGGGUUGUAGGGAAGUCAUGGUUUGUCACAUUAUAGCUGUGCUCGGCCAGACUGAGGCGGGGGGGAGCUGGCAGCACUACAAGUCGCGGCCUGCAGCUGGGUUCUGACAGCACUGAGUGAAUGCAGAGGCUCUGGAUGGCUCACUGUGAGCCACAGACAGAUGUCUGCCUGUUCUCAGGGCCUCUCCUUGCUGAAGGUCAGAUCUUUCCAGAAACUGGGUCAGGUAGGCUAAAACGUGGGUGGGAGAAACCAAGUCACUGACUGCUCAGUGGGAAAGGCGGAGUAAAAUUUACCUUGACUAUUCUACGCUUAUCCUCCUGCCCCCCAAAUCUGUGCUUUGUGAUGGAAUUUAAAGCAUGGUCAAUGACUGUAGCCUAAUAACAGAUUUGAGAAAUGUUUUUUUUUUCCUUGAAAUAACAUAAAUCUACAACAGUGGAAAGUGGACUUUUGUCUGUGCCCAUAUUCUGGGGCUAAAUACUUUAGUCAGUGAUUUGGGCCAUUGUUCUGCUAAAAUAACUCUGAAUUUAAUACUGGGUUAAAAAGAACUGGGCUGUACCAAAAUGUGAAUUGCGCUCCUAGCCAGAACUUGGCCCCAAGCGUGGAAAAAUGCCAUGGGAUCUCUGAACCACCCCACUGGUCCUUACACUUGGAAUGAUGUGCUGUUCCACAGGUCUCCCUUUGAAGUUAGCAGAGGAGUCAGGGAGGCUCCUUUGUAACCUAAUUAAAUCUGACCCUAAAUGGUCACUACCAAGGGAUAUCAACCAGGAUGGAACACUUGCAAAUAAUGGUAUUAAACUUAGAGAGGGAUGCACCUAGACCUAUUUCUAAAGAAAAAUCUGAAGCUGCUCUGUGUAAUCAUUUUGGAAAUGUGGUGACUUCUGCACUGUAAAUCCAUUAUCCACUUAUUUCUAUAAAUCCAAUGCCAGCACAGGCUCUUCUGCGGGUAACCAUUAUACGGAAAUGAGCAAAUAUAUUUGUAGAUGAAUCUGUGGUUUUACAGCAAGAUUGAUCUACUCCCUCCCAUUCCAUCCAGUAUGAUUUAUAGUGGAACUUCACCAGAGUAACAUCUCGGGAAGAAUACUGAGAGCUACGAAACUCUCAUAGUGUGCUCUGACUCACUGGAGUGAUUGCUUUCAUGCUGCUGCUGAGUAAGUCAUGCAUUUAAAACAAAGACAAAGCUGAAGUUUCCCACUCUGGUGUUUGAUUCUGCUGGCUUGUUUUUUAACCUAUAAUUUUUUGUGUGUGUGAUUGUAUUUUGUCUGGUACAUGAACAUACAACUACUUUUCUUUAGGCUAACUCGUUGAUCUUGGUUAUCUUAGUAGUGGGAACAUGAAGAAAUAUAUUCUGUUUCUCAGUGGUUAGAAGCCUUGCUGAAUUGUGUUAGUGGUCACAAGUGCUGCUUCAGUUAAGGCAUACUGUGUACGUAGGUGCAGCUGAAAUGUGUUGUUCAAUACCUUUCUUCUUGGGCAACAACAAAGCUGAAUAGCCUACUUCAGCAUCAGGAAUCCAUUUCAAAAACUGAGAUAGCUGGGAUCUCUUUGAGCCAGUCUGUGUUCACCUAGUGCCACGGUUCCUAUUUAAAUCAACAAGCGCAAGAUAUUCUGACUGAAGGGAAAGAACAGAAUAUUUACUUGGCUUCAAGUAAAGGAAAAGGUUGCAUUUUCAAAAGGGGGCUCAGGCUGCUGAAUACUUACGUUUUUGUGAGGUUAGCCAUUCUUUUUUUGCUUCUAUGUGAUGAAACAGUAAAACAAAGAUUGAGUUGAAUACUUAUUUGCUUCCCAUGAUUUUGAUCGUGGAAGUUUCUUAGGACUUAAACCAGUUUGUCUGCUGCUCAGGUUUGCGUUGCAGGAACCUCUGAUGAAGCUACAGAAAGCAGGUAUCCAGGAAACCCUUUCAAGUAGUCUGCGUGCUAAGCUUCAAAUUCAUCUCUGUAACCGUAUCUGUUUACUUUUUCCUUUUAGAACAAUAUCUCCUGUAAGAUAGUCACCUUACUUCCUUCUAAAAAGAUGGGAGUGGUAGAUGGGUACUUCAUAUUUCGACUUAUGCAUGCAUGCUUGCAGCUUUUAUUCUUCCUUUCAUUGACUCUCUCAAGAUUUGGCACAAUAAGAGCAUUAUGUAAGACUAAAUCAUUCUCACAUAAUUUUGAGUGAAUGCCUUUCAUGAAGUACUGGGUGCCCAUCAUGACUGUAAGUAAAAAUGAAUCAUUUCCUUUUUAAAUGGAAGUUUUAAAGCUAACAUUUUAUGUAGUUAAUUGCCACAAGCCAAAAUAACCUUUUGAGCUCUCUGAAUUUUCACAGCUGCUAACUGGAGGAAACAACCCACACUGAUGGAACAGAAACUUAAGCAUUUCUAAGAAAUUAUUCCCCACUCCAGCUUCCUCUUUUAGCAUAAUGCCCAGCUCACUUUUGCUACGCCAUUAGCACUUCUCUGUAGAGAAAAACCUGAGUAUCAUCUAAAGGACAGAAUUACGAAGAAUAAAGCAAGGACAGUAUGAAUGCAAAGAUGACCCUUCAAAAGCACAGAGAGCAGUUAACAGCUCAGUCAACAUAGGUGACUACACUGUUACUAGAAGCCAGCAGACUGAGUAGGUGCAAGGCUCCACAGUUCAGUAACGGAACUGUGAAGAGCUCUCUCUAUUUUCCAGUAGACAGGGAAAUUCAGGGAUGUAUGCUGUACAUGCUUUUAAGAUAAGAGAAUAAAUCUCUGUAUUACAAGGCAAGGUUAAUAUGUGAAAUAAGAAUCAGCAAAUAGAGAAUAGGAUCAAAACUGGGAGAUCUGUUGGAAAUACGGGACAGACAGUGCAGGGAAAGACAAGAGGCUAUAGAAACAGCUGGGGCUGCAGGCAUGAAACCCAGGUAUGCUGGAGGAGAAUUUUUUUGGUCUGUCACACUCUUCCACUGUAGGGUAGUUAUUGCCUGCUACAAGAGUGAGGUCCUUGCUUCAAGCAAGACACACAAGAGCAGGAGUGCAGGGCCUGGUGCUGGAGGAAGCUUGUGUGAAAACAGCAGGCUGGCAGCAGGAAGACAUGGAAAGAAAGAGGGUGGGUGAAAAUCAGAAACUCACUGGGCAGUCAUGGUAAGGAGGAGGAGAUAGGAAAUACUGAGAGAGAAGCAGAGAGAAAUAUUUGCUAAAUAUCAAAUGAAGCGAACAGUCCUUCUGGUGAGUGGUAGAGAGGAUCUGGCAAGGACACAGCUAAAAUAUUCUGUUGAAAAUAGCACAGUAAAUCAUCAAUGCAGGAACAAAAAUUCAUUUUUGGCUAACGUAGGAACAGAAGUGUGGGAUACAGUCAAUAUUUUAAAAGACCAGUGGAUGGCAGCAUAUUUUUGCUACGGUUGUCACGCCAUAUGUUCUGGUUGCAGCUCAUAUGCUGACUUGAGCAUCGCAUGUCAGACACAACAUGGAUUUAUUCUUGGGACAAGUUAGUACCAGCUGCAAAGAUCUGUGCUUUUUUUUUGGUAGAGUUUGAAUUUGGUUUGGCAGAGGCAGCAGUAACCGCUCUUGUAGCUGUCCCAGUGCUGAAUCAUGUGGGAGAUGGGCAAUGUGUUUCACUGCUACCUUUGUAAUGGAUAGGAGUGGAACAUAAAAGAAAGAGGAUGAUAUCAUGACUAAGCGGUACCCACCUUCUAAAAGUUUAUAGGGAUGUUUCAGAGAACAAAAACUCAGAAAGCCAGGCCUACAGAAUCACCCUCAGAGCAUCGAAUCCUGCUGGUUUAGUGUGAGUUGGGUCUCUAGAUUAUUAUUCUGGUUCUGCUAUGAAGCUGAUAAUUUCUUCCACAAGUUUUGGGGUGUAAACUGUAAAGAAAAUAAAUCUCUUGAGAUAUAAAGUUAUAUAUGAAGAAUAAAAUUGGGUACCAAUUCAGGCUAUGGUCUAACACCCAUCCAUCCAAAAACUGGUGAGCAUGAAGUAGUUAAAGGAUUAAACUGAAAAGUAAAAAAGCACUAUUCUUGCUUGUUGUAUUUAUUUGCUCUAAGUGGGGGGGGAAAAGCUGACAAGUCAUAAGAGAUUUGUCUGUGCAUGUAAAUUGCAAAUGAGAAAGAAAAGCAUUUUAAAAGAGCAGUUUAUAAAUUUAUUUGAUAGAGAGAAUCCCAAUAAAUUUGUGAACUACAUACUCAUGGUCAACAAUACUUCUAAAAAAGAGAGAUUGCAAAUACAAAAAAGAAGAGGGUGUUAGCAGUCAAGGUUCUCUGGGAGAUGUUACAUUGCUUUUGGUUGUGAAAUGUUUACAAAGAGCAGCACAGAAGAACAUGGUAACCAUUUCAAUUAUCUGAAGCUUUUAAAUUUAAAGGGUGUUUGUAUAAAAAAAAAUGGUCCAAUUAUAACAAAAUUAUAUUUGCACAACGAAGUUGGAAACAAAGCAUUUUGUUAGUGAUAAAUGCACCAAGAACUGAAAUAUAAGACAAGCUCUUUUGUUUGUCAAUUUGUCAGAUGUGUUCUGAAGCUUCCCUUCCAAUUACAAGCUGUUUAGUACAGCACAAAAGGUAUUUUAAAAUUAACAUAGAAACUGGAAUGUUUUUUCAAUUGUAGCACAUUUCAUCUGAGAUGAUUACCAUGAAAAGACCUGAAAAGGGAACACAAAAGCAAUGAUUUAUAGACGCUCUAAUUUUUCACUUAGAAACUCUUCCACGCUGUCUGUAUUCCACUUGAGGAUGCUCAGUUCUUCUGCAAUGUUCCCACUGUCGUCCAGCAGCUUCAGUACAGGGUCAGAACCACGCACGUACUGCAGAAAGAAACAAGUCAGUUCCAUUGGGCUAGAAAAUGCAUUCUCCGUUUUAAAUCCCUUCUCAAUUUAUUUUCAUCAGUUAAAGAUGUCAAAUCAGGAAGAGAAAUAAGCUCAAAGAUUAAUGCCAUGAAGUAUGAAUACUUAAACCCAGAGUGCUAAAUGAAAUUGGGGUAUUUGAGAAAAUGUAGGCAAGAUAACUUAUGCUAUGAAACCCAACUCAGCUUAGGAAAAAUCAAAACAACCCAUUCUUAAGCUUGGUUGUUCCUCAUAAUGUUUACUUAAUGCUAUAAGUAUUUCAGUGCCAUGUGUUUUGUUCUGCAUUUACGAAUGUUGUUGAUAGAAUGUUUACCAGCAAUAUAUUCUGCUUUUCUUGAAGAAAAUAUCUACAUAAAUCAGAUUAAGCUUAUGAGAUCCUUUCGCUUGUUCUCUCCUACAUUGCUGUUGCCUCCUCUGUCCAAACGUAAAGGAGCAGACACAAAGGAAGAGCAAGGGGAGGCAUCCAGGUUAAAGCUGUAGUGACGUAAAUGCUGCAGGCUGUACACCCCCUGGCAGCAAUGGAUACAGUGCAUGGGCAGAAAGACAGCGCCAUAAGGCUUGCAUGGAAAGAAGGUAUUCUGUUUUACUGUUGUGAGCUCCUCAAGUUUGAUUUUUGAGUCAAAGCAGAUGAAUGAUUCUUCUUCUCAUACAGUCAAUAGACUUUUUUUAAACAACUUUAGAAUUUUCUGGUCAAACAGUGCAAAGGUUUACUAUCAAUUUUUGAUGUAAUUAAUUUCUUGCCUACUACUGUGCUCUAUUUGUGCCUACUGUGUUUUGCAGGUAGUGCUGGUAAUGCUUCUAAAAACUGAGUGAAUCCUAAAAUACGUGAUGUAAAUAAGAGCUUUUAGCAGUACUGUAAGGAUGUAGCCAUGUAAGGUUACAGAGGAAUUUUUACUAGGGGUGUUUUACUUUACCCUAUUACACAGCUAACCUAGUUGGCUAGGUAGGUUAAUGAAGCUAGCAGCAUCUCUAAUUGGUUUUCCCAAAGUCUUGUAAAAUAAAUACCAGAUUCAUUUGUACAUUUUUUUCCCAAUAAUGUUUUAUACCAAUUGUAGUAUGGACUGAUUUAAUGUUCAGUACAGCUACAAAGUUUAAAAUAAGAAUGAAACAUUCAGAUGUACAGGAGAGAAUGCUUUUGAAAGAAACUGGAGGACAUGAAUACAUGAGACAGAAGAAACCUGCCUGAGAUGGAAUCUGCUGCUGAGAAGACAAAUUGCUUAUUUCAGCUGUGCAUAACUAUGAAGUGACUCCAGAUGGAGCCAUUUGGUGAAUAGAGAUGAGAGCACAAAGAUGUGAGAAUCAAGAGGUAUAUCUGUGAAGUACACUGCAAGUUCACAUAGGAUUUUAAGUUUUACACUAGAAUUUGAAAGCAAAGAAUUGCUUGUGCUUAAGGCAGUGUGGCUUAUGCAGCUUUGCCUAUACGUAAGUGAUAGGAAACACCAUUCAGUGUAUGCAGUUCUUUAAAGCUGGAUGUUUGAAGGCUGAAGUAAAACAGAAUCAAAACAUACUGAGGAAGAUGUGAGAAAGGAAAAAUAUCCAAGAAUCUCUGAAUGUAUGGAAAUGGCAGCUGCAUUAGAAAAUGAAGAACAAAUCGAGAGAAAAGGAAUUGAAGGCAUGGCAGAAGCAGCUCAAGUAAACACGAGAUAUCCACAGCAUCAGGUCAGAAUGCAAGCAUUCCUCGCAUUCUUUAAACAUCUGCUUUUACUUAAGGGUUUCAGUGUACCUUUUAUUGGAUUUAAACAAAAUAACAAACAACUCCUCAGGCCCCAGUAACAACAAAGGUUCGGUACCACUGCUUAGCAAUAACCCAAUUAGCAUUAGCUGCAAAAACUUGGAAAGAUUUAUACUGGCAAUGAAAGUACAUCUUCUCCUGAAGGAUUAUUUCAUCAGCAAAUAAGGAUGCUCCAUAAAAGGGCUGUUUCCACCAGGUUUAAUUCUUCUUAAUAUAUGCUUCCCCUGACCCCAAGAAAACACAGAAACCCUUUGGUUAUUACUUACCUUGAUUUGCAGUCCCCUGAAGAGCUUAGGCUUGUCACUCCUGACAAAAGCUAUAAUAUGGAGAAAAAAAGAGAGUCAAGCUUUCCCAUGGAAAGAGGCUUUACAAAUUAAUGGCAGAAUUCUCAGUAUCUUCACAAAAGCAUUAGUACUAAACAGUAUGCCUAAGGAAAACUAUUUUUACCAGUGUUCCAAACCAGCUUGGAUUUUCCUUGGACAGCAGUGCAACUGCGUGAGUCAGUUCAUCUGCAUGGACAACUGACAGUCCUCAGCAGAGCCACGCAUACAGGGCUGUAUAUGCAGAUGUGAAGGAAGUUGUUGAAAUUGAGCAGUCAAAUUCUGGCUGGAGAUGAGCUCUGUGAGGGAGGAUACACGUGAAACAAACGCCCUCGGCGCACUGCACAGGAGUGGCAGCAGUGCUGGUGAAAGGGCACCAAGGAAACUGUGGGUAGAGGUGUUAUUCUUGCACACAAGACAAACAAUUUUGUCUUACAGAGCUCUCCAAGGUUACGUACUGAAAACCAGCAUGGAAGCAAGAAGAGGAAACAAGAAGAAAAGCCGCUAUCUCCUCUUUUCUUGACACUCCUAAAGGCAAGCAGUCAGCUUCACCACGGGCUCUGUGACCUGCCAUGCAGCUCCACAGGGAGAUGGGCUGCUGCUGGACAGAUUCUUCACCUGAAGCGCCGGUCACACAGACAUGAGUGCUAACAGCCACACGGACCCUGUAUCUCUACAGCACUCCAUCCUUGGGUUAAUGUGAACUUUAAAAAGAAUAUUCACAGCAUGGCUUAUUUCGGGACAAAACAUGAGCGUAAUCCACUACUUCCAAACUCUUUAGCAUAAUGAAUAUAUGAGUUGCAAAAGUAUUUAAAAUUUAUUUAGAAAAUAGCUUAGUCUUCAUUUCCCAUUACACUCAGGUUACACUACAGGCUGAAUUUAGUAUCUGUAGUGACGUUAAGUGGAUUCAGGCAGCUCCUGUGGUAUGCCAGCAGUCUCCCCAAGGAUGAACACUGUCAGCAUGGAUUGACUCUCACGGAGGUGCUGGCUGCAUGUUAAAGCUGCCUUUUCAAGGUUAGACAACAAUGCAUCUCUUGCGAAUUGCAGUGCAUCCAGCUGGUGCAUGAAGAUGAGCGCAACCUCAGGACUAACGCCUCGUGCUGCCUCACAAAACGUAGUGCCUUCCUCAAUAAUUGUAAAGAUGUCCUCUGACAUCUUUAUACCUUUCUCUAUAUUACUGAAGACAGUUACCUCAACAUUUCCUCAGUACGUAUAUACAGAGCGACAUUUAUUUUCUCCAGUCUUCUACUGUGCUCCCGGUACAGAACAAAAUCGAAUACUCUGCUGGCUGCACCAACCACUGUGCAGCAUAAACAAGUUCAGAACAAAAUGGCAUAGUAAGCUGCUAGAGAGACUGAUAUCUGAAGAAGAAAGCUUGCUUCUCUUCUUUCUGGAGCACUUUAAUGUCACGUUGCAAGCUGUACGCACAGAACAAUUUCAAACAGCACUAAACCACCACUACUUUCUCACACAUUGGAGUUCAGCUCUGAUAUAAAUUCACACCGAGGCCAUUUUCAGACACUGUUUUCCUAUGCCCUCACGAGCUGUUAGUUUUCUGGGCUCUGCUAGCAAGAUACAAAAAAAGUGGCGAUGUUUCUCAAGUCCACAGUGAACUGAACUAUUACAUGGGGAUUUUUCCCUGCAAAUUGAAAAAACUGAAGCUGAAAUCACUGUGUAGGACUUAAUAUAAAAAAGGGGGUUUUAGGAAACAGUCGGUAUGUGGAGUCAAUUUUAUUGCAAAACUUAAGGAGAAGCAGUAAGAUGGCACAGUAAAAUGGAGUCUCAAACAGAUCUGGACUGUGGAACUCAGCUCUUUAAGAACAGCCUUUAGGGGUUUGCUCAGGCUGCAGCACUUUCAGCAGGUGUGAGGACUGGUUCACUGAGCGACAGAUAAAAGCUCACUUGGACAUGAGUGGUUGCUCGCUGGCUGCAGUGUUGGAGCAAACAAGCUGGUAAGAUGUGGAUAGAACUAGGUGAAAGAAGAAAGUAUUCUCUAGGUUGUGUUACAUUUUGUCACUUUAAAAGUAGCUAUUACACCUUUGUAUCAAUGUCAAAUGUCUAAAUCUUCUGAAAGCUGAAGCUGGACAGAGCAUUUUUCCUGAAAUUUCAGAUAGCUGGCACAAAAUCACUUUUUGUUAGUGGCAUAUUUAUUUCUAAUGCUCAUCAUAGUGACUUUCUGUAUUGGUCACUUGAAUUUCUAUGAUGCAACUAAGAAUAGCGUAAUAUAUAUAUUAUAAUUUCUACAUUCUCAAUUUUGGAAGCUAAAUUAAGAAACUAACAUACUGACAUGCGUUAAAAAUACAGAUUAUCCCAUCAAACCCCGCUUUUCCACAAAAUCAGGCUCUAAGUUGAAUACAUGGUCUUGGAAUAGAAUUGAUGGGCUCAGAAGUGAGAUGCAGCUCAGGCACACAUUGUGACACGCAGCUGCCAGCUUACUCCGAGAUACGGCGCACGCAGUCCCCCUUCUGCACUGCCCCAGCUCUUGCUAAGGCUGUUUGCACAUGUUUACACCACUGUUUAAUAGUCUGAUGCUUAAUACUAAAAUGCUGGAUAUCUUCCAACUUUCCACUGCCCAUAGCAGCUUCAGAAAUUACACACUGCAGAGAAAAAGUAUUUAAUACAGUUCAUUCAUGGGUGAGUGAGAAAGGCAUUUUCCACUUUGAUUUCUGCACGAUGAACUCUGAGUUUGGUGCCAUGACACUAUUUUUGGUGAAUUAAACACCAGACUGGAAGUCAGAGCUGUUCUACUGCCUGCCUUGUGACUGUCCUGUCACAUAACGUUAAGAAAAUCACUUCACCUUAUGCUGUUACAAAACACAUGCAAUACCAAAGCAUAUGCCUUCUGUUUGAAGGCAACCCUGAGGUGAGGCUGCACAGCAGACCUGACUGCCAUUCCGAUCAACUACAGCAAAAGGUCAGAUUGCGGAGCAGAAGACAGCCCACUGGCUUCUCCAAGGCAAUCUGCUGAGUGCACGAAAGGGAGAAAGGGAUCAGAUGCGUACAGACAUCUCAAAGCCUGUUGAGUGCCAAGCUGUUAGGCAAAGACAGGUCACACCUAGCAUCAAACAGUGCUUUUAAGGACCUAGGAGCAGCCUCUGCUUGUAUACAACACAAACCUACCGCUAUGGUCCCUUUGUUUCGACGGAGCUUUAAAGUGAAUCUGUUGGAAGUAAGACCUAGAAUCCUAAACAGAGAUUGCUAAAGAGCUGAAGAAUCACUCACAUCCAAACUGCAAGUCUAUGUAUUUGCUGGCAGACACUUGUGCUAUUCUCUCUGAAGCAGAACACAGCGGAGGAAAGCCUUCUGACCCCAAACGGGCACGACUUCACAUCGCAUCAUAGUAAGCUGCAGAUCAGUAUGUUUGGCGUAAGUUCUUUGUUAAAAGCCUUGACUAUCCACUUUUAAUAUAUUAAGGGCACGGUGCAGAUUACCAAGGAUAUCUAUCUAUUCAGAAAUACUUGUAUUAUUUAGUUUCCUGCUUUAAGAGAAAAUCUCCUUGAUCUGUAACUGGAAAAAUACAAAAUGUUAAGCUAAUCUAUUAAUACUUGAAUGAGAGUCAAUAUAUACAGCAGUAGAAUCUCACACUUAUCUUCAAACAACUAUGCACACAGACAAGUAUUCUCAACCGUGUCCAUCUCCACACACAUCAGAAGGAAUUUAACAGCCUCGGAUCAGAAAGGCCUGCAGGAGAUGAAAAAAAACUUACUGCUCUAUUAUAUCAGUUCCAGAUUUUAUUCCAGAAAAACACGACAGAGGUCCUAACUAGCUGUUAUCUUCAGCAUCAUGUCAGCAAUACAUUUUUACUGCACAUUUUUUCCUCCUGGUAAGCUACAGCGUGUCUUCUAGCAACAAUCUGAUGUAAGUAUCCUCCAGUAAUUCAAAAGUCCAUUUGUUCAAACUUCAAAUCCUUGUGCUACUUAAACUGUGCUUUCUGUUUUGAUUUAUUCCACUGCUUACCACUGUAACACUAUGAGCACCUUUCUAACUAUGUAUGUCCAUAUGGAUUCACCCAAGUUUUGAAACUCGACAUACUCUUCUUGGUUGAUGCUAUUUUUCUAGUCUCCAGAACCUUUAGCUAUUAAACUCUUAACACUGCAUACAGAUAAACAACUUUGCAUCACAGCUAAAAUACACUAAGGAUGCUGAUCACACACUAAAAAGCAGCAGCAUACUUUUGUGAUGAAGAUGAGGUCUAUCAGUUGAUCAGGGCAAAACAUUGCCAGUGCUCCAAGAGCAACACAGAAAGGAACACUUCCAUCACUAAGGAGGAAUGCUGCAAAAUUAGUAUCAAGAAUGAUCUGCUCCUAGAAAAAUAUUUCCAGUCUUUCUGGGAUGCAUUGAAAUGGGUCACAUAUUAAAAUACUAGCAAUAGGAAACACAAAAGACAUAACAUUUUAUCAAAUCAUGAUUCUGCAUGGUACUCUGUGCAACUCUGAGUGCAGUACAUACACCUGAUUUCUACAAUUCAGAAGUAAGAAACACUAAAUGUAUACAAGAAGUGUUACAGGGAAUAGCGGAUCUCUGAUUAUCACACAUGGGGUGUGCAACAUGAGAGCAGUAAUGAUAGAGACGUGCCUCAACCUGAAGGAUUUAUUUAGUUUGUAUGUUUGUAUAUAAUCUACUUACAAAAGAUUAUGAUAGAUGUUUCUCAUUAGAAUAUCCUACAUUGCUUAGCAAGAAUUUUACUGACUUUUCUGCAAAAAUCUAAGAUUUAAUAUUAUUCUAACUUUCAAAUUUCUGUCACCAGUACUUAAGAACUACUGAUAAAGGUAACAAGAAAAUAAGUGAUCUUACCUACAAGUACAGCCCCCUAACAAACUACAUUCUAGUAUCUGUAAGAAUCCCCCACAGCUGCAGAGCUUGAGCAAUACAGCAGAGUGCUUACUGACUCCCUGAAGCCAGAGGAUCUAAUGCAGUUGCAUGUUGCGUGAGUUCAAGGAUGAAGGACUUUCUCUAACAUCUGCUGGGAGCACAUUCAUUGUGUCACUACAAGUCACACAGCGAAAGGUCAGAAUUAUUCUCCUGAUGAACAAAAAGAAUGCCAAGAUGUGAAAGAAACGUUCAGUGAAAAAAGCCAGCCUAAUUCAGUUCAGCUAAACGCAGUGGAAAGAACAUAGGAGUGCAGAGAUUGUGAUCUUGUGUCUCAUCAUGAACAGAGCAGGGCUGCCACUGAAAAGUCAACUUCAAACAAAUAUAUUAGACCUACCCAAUUUUGUUUUCUACCUCGGAGCCUUAGUUUUAUGUCAGCCAAAAACUGUUUCAUUGUCUGUGCCAGCUGGUAGAAGAAGCUCUUGCUUCAUCUAAGAAUUCUGUCACUUAUGCUUUCAGUGUCCUACCUUGAUGGAAUGAUAAAUAUUUAAAAGCUGUUUUAUAAGGAGCAAUUUCAAAACAUACGUGGUAAAGGAAUUAUUUUUGUGGUAUAGCAUUUAUAAUGCAGCGUUUUCUUCUUACGGGAAACUGAGCAGGAAACAAUAUCUCAGAACUGAACAUACGACAGAGGUUUACAGGAAUGUAAGCUGUUAUCUGACUUAUCAUGAGCAGCUUUAUUUGAGAAAGAUAACAGGUAUCCUUGGCCACACUCACAAAAGCAUUCAGCAGGCUGUAAUGGUAUUACAAAGAAUAAUGCUAGCUAGAAGAGUACAUUCGACUGCUUUUUAAAAUUUUCUAAUUAUGCUUUUAAAUUGUAUCUUAUCAACCUGUUGCAAUAACCCUAGCAGCAAAUCUGAUCACAAGAGACUCAGAUUGGGCCACAGCAGAAACUGGUGAGGAAAAAGCCUGUUCAUCCCUUCUUUCUUUUCACCAUCCCAAAGAGAAAACUGGUUCAGAUUAACAAGGAUGGAAAGGCAAACUGUUAACAUUUCUAAGUUUUUCCUUUGUACCAAAAGCUUUUAGAGGAUGUUUUACAGUGCAUAUAGAGCAGUUGGGAAUAUUUUCAAGUGUGCUGAGUUUGAAUGGACAUGUGGAUAACACGGUUGCCUCUACUAAUACAAGUUUCCUCACGCCCCUAAGUAGCACAAGCAAUGUAAUUAGUUCUUGUUUUGGUGUUUUGAACAGCAGGAAAGAAUCUUUCCUCCAGCCUUGUGGUCAAUUAAUGGAACUGUGUGCAGGUAGGAGUGGGAGGAGGGGAGUCCAAAGCAGCAUAACUUAUGCUAACAGCAGCCUGGUUUUAAAUCCUUUUAUUUCUUGUUCUUUAGAGCACCUUCAAUUAAGGUAAUACUAAUACUGGCCAUGCUAGAUAGGAGAUGCACUUUUUGUACAUUUUUAUUUCUAAAGCUGUAUUAGUCCUUCUCUACAUCCAAGCGAUGCUAAGCACAGUAUUAGGAACUUCAUUACUGAAAAAGAGCACUGCAAUCUCUUUGUAUGGGAACUGCUGAGUCACGGCCCGAACCACUGAUUGAGCACCUGGGGAAAGGACCAGGUCAGCCCUGGGAGCACAGGUGAAGGCAAUUCCUGUGUGUGACAGGAAGGGGUGGAGCCCGGCUGCACCUCUCAUAGGCCUCACUGAAGGGCUAACCCCUGCUGGGGAAGGAUCUCUGGUUGGAGAUCUCUCCCCUGUGAAGUCCUUCCUUCACUCUGUGAGCUGAGAUCUUCAGAGACCGCUGAGCACCUUUCCUUUCCUUUUAUAAUACCCUCCCAUCCGUGCCAAUCUUUCUAGUUAUAACACUCCUAAGUUCCAUUCCUAAAAAAUUCCACGUUGAAAUUUCACACAGAUGUUUUUCCCACAGCUUCCUCCCACCACACACUGAUGAUACUCAUUUUCCUUCUCUAUUUUGUUCGCUUUAGCUGACUGUCAUUAUUCAGGAACAAAACAAUUACAAUGUAGCAUCUGUGGAAGGAAAGCAGUUCCCUAAGCAUGCUAUAUAAUUUCAUCUAUCAAUUACUGGAGUCUCAGGUCAGUGCAACUUUCCUGCUAUAAUAUGACUACUUGUAGUAGCAGUUAAAAGCACAUCUUGUCAUUUUGCUGUGACGGUAUUUUGUAUUUGAAAGAACUGUAGGUGGCUUUACUUACCCUGGACUUGAGGGAACCUUCCCAAUUUUCAUCCACAUACUUCUAGGACAGCUCCUGCAUAAAGCUGCAAUGACAGACAGAAGCUGUUAAUAAAAGUAUAAACUGCUUGUUUGCUUAUGGCAUGUAAUCUAUCAAUCUGAGCAUCAAUAUCAAUUCAUUAGAUUUGGUAUUGAAAUAUUUCAUCUAUUUCACUUUGAGAAGUGAGGUUGAGCUAACCUUGGUGCUUGCACUUAGACCUCAGCCACCUACGCAAGGUACCC
rnacentral:lncRNA from 1 species